rnacentral:rRNA from 1 species
AUUGAACGCUGGCGGCAUGCCUUACACAUGCAAGUCGAACGGCAGCACGGGAGCAAUCCUGGUGGCGAGUGGCGAACGGGUGAGUAAUAUAUCGGAACGUGCCCAGUCGUGGGGGAUAACGCAGCGAAAGCUGUGCUAAUACCGCAUACGAUCUACGGAUGAAAGCGGGGGAUCGCAAGACCUCGCGCGAUUGGAGCGGCAGAUAUCAGAUUAGCUAGUUGGUGAGGUAAAGGCUCACCAAGGCGACGAUCUGUAGCUGGUCUGAGAGGACGACCAGCCACACUGGAACUGAGACACGGUCCAGACUCCUACGGGAGGCAGCAGUGGGGAAUUUUGGACAAUGGGCGCAAGCCUGAUCCAGCAAUGCCGCGUGCAGGAUGAAGGCCUUCGGGUUGUAAACUGCUUUUGUACGGAACGAAACGGUGAACUCUAAUACAGUUUGCUAAUGACGGUACCGUAAGAAUAAGCACCGGCUAACUACGUGCCAGCCGCCGCAGUAA